GAUGAAGAACGUAGCGAAAUGCGAUAAGUAAUGUGAAUUGCAGAAUUCAGUGAAUCAUCGAAUCUUUGAACGCACCUUGCGCUUCUUGGCAUUCCGAGGAGCAUGCCUGUUUGAGUGUCAUUAAAUCCUCAACCCCAUCUUCCUUGUGAAGUGGUCAGUUGGACUUUGGGAGCUGCUGGCUUGGUGUCAGCUCUUCUGAAAUAAAUUAGCAGGGAACCUUAUGUGCUGGACUGCAGCUUGGUAUUGAUAGUUGUCUUACCAGGUGACAGUCAGGCAUUUACUCUGCUCACAGCCGUCUCUAGCUUGAGACAAGUGACUUGACGAUUUGACCUCAAAUCAGGUAGGACUACCCGCUGAACUUAAGCAUACAAUAAGCGGAGGA
rnacentral:misc_RNA from 1 species